UCAGUUUUGGAGAAUUUUCAAAUUUUUGAAUUUUUUGCUAUUUCCAUGGUAACGGGUGUCAUUUCCAAAAUUCCAAAGACAGGUGCCACUUUGGGACAUGCCAUGUUACAUAUCUAUAAAGUUGUAGGAGGUUUGAUCCAAUAUUCUUGCAGAAAAUGCAGCUUCGGUGUGUUUUCCCAUAGGGCCAAUGUUAAACUUUCGCCCUGUUUCCAUGACAAUGGUGGCCAUUUUGGAAUUUCCUAAUAUUGUCACAACAUCUAGGCAUACCAAGGAACAUUACCAUUAAGUUUCAUCCACAAGGGUCUUAUAAUAAAAGAUUUAAAAUUUUGAUUUUUUUUCACAUUUUAUCAGUUUCCAUGACAACAGCCGCCAUCUUGAAUAUGCCAUACCCCGAUUGCAAAUCUGCACAUGCUGGGUAACAUUAUGGUACAGUCCCAUGACCAUUGGUUCAUACAGUUCCAAGAUAUAAGCUGGACAAAAAAAGUGGAAGAAAAAUAAAAAUAAGAAAAAAAGAAACGUAGAAUAACAAUACGUCACCCCAACUCCGUUGAGGGUGCCAUAAUAA
rnacentral:lncRNA from 1 species